rnacentral:tRNA from 2 species
GCACCCGUAGCUCAAUUGGACAGAGCAUCGGUCUUCGGAACCGAGGGUUGUGGGUUCGAGUCCCCCCGGGUGCGCCA